CUGCAGCUAAUUAAGCUGAUGCGUUCCUUUACUCGUGGGGGCACAGAGUGCAGUGGCUGCAAACAGCAGCCUCCUUGGUAGUGUAUGCAGCCUUUUGCUUGUAUGGGUUGUCCUAAGGGACCUUGAAGACAGCU
rnacentral:snoRNA from 1 species